AGAACGAACGCUGGCGGCAUGCCUAACACAUGCAAGUCGAACGAGUGGCGCACGGGUGCGUAACGCGUGGGAAUCUACCUUUGGUUCGGAAUAACAGUUAGAAAUGACUGCUAAUACCGGAUGGGAUGAGCCCGCGUAAGAUUAGCUAGUUGGUGGGGUAAAGGCCUACCAAGGCUACGAUCUUUAGCUGGUCUGAGAGGAUGAUCAGCCACACUGGGACUGAGAUACGGCCCAGACUCCUACGGGAGGCAGCAGUGGGGAAUAUUGGACAAUGGGCGAAAGCCUGAUCCAGCAAUGCCGCGUGAGUGAUGAAGGCCUUAGGGUUGUAAAGCUCUUUUACCAGGGAUGACAGUACCUGGAGAAUAAGCUCCGGCUAACUCCGUGCCAGCAGCCGCGGUAAUACGGAGGGAGCUAGCGUUGUUCGGAAUUACUGGGCGUAAAGCGUACGUAGGCGGUUAUUCAAGUCAGAGGUGAAAGCCUGGAGCUCAACUCCAGAACUGCCUUUGAAACUAGAUAGCUAGAAUCACGGAGAGGUGAGUGGAAUUCCGAGUGUAGAGGUGAAAUUCGUAGAUAUUCGGAAGAACACCAGUGGCGAAGGCGGCUCACUGGACGUGUAUUGACGCUGAGGUACGAAAGCGUGGGGAGCAAACAGGAUUAGAUACCCUGGUAGUCCACGCCGUAAACGAUGAUAACUAGCUGCCAGUGGCGCAGCUAACGCAUUAAGUUAUCCGCC
rnacentral:rRNA from 1 species